GUUUUAUGUGACAAACCUCAGCUAGAAUAUAGGUUCCAUUGAACACCAUUUUUUUCUGUGCCCACAGACAGAACAGAACAUCCUCCCAAUACCGUUAUGAGUAAUUACCAGAGACCACCCUAUCCCCCACCAGGGUACGGAUCAUUUAAUCCACCACCAGGCUACCCAUCAGCGCCACCGCACCCGCCACCUUACGAAGGGUACCCUCCACCACAACCACCACUAUAUGAAGGGUAUCCACCACCAUAUGAAGGGUGCCCUCCACCUCAACAACAACCAUCUGGGUAUGCGGGGUACCCACCACAGCGUCCACAAUAUGAAGGGUACCAGGGCUAUUUCAAUGGAGGCUAUCCACCGCCACCUCCUCCGCCUCCUUACCACUGCCACCACCACGAUGAUGGUGACUCUGGUUUUGGUUCAUUCUUGCAAGGCUGGUAUGUUUUCUUGUAAUGCAUUCUCUAUUUUUCUGGAAUUUUUGUUUUUUCAUAUGCAUGAUUAGGUUUACAUUAUUAUAUCUCAAUCGAAUGACAUUGACCAACAAGAAGUUGGUCUAGUGGUUUAAGGCCCCACUAUAUCUCCAGGAUGACUAAAAGAUGAAGGUUCAAUUCCUGGGACACUUGUUGGGCGGGACAACCACGCACCCUACAAGGGAUUAGUUCCUUACCCAAAAAAGUGAGGGAUACCCUUGAUAUUAC
rnacentral:lncRNA from 1 species